AACGCACAUUGCGCUCCCUGGUAUUCCUAGGAGCAUGUCUGUCUGAGCGUCAGUACACACCCUCCGUCCCCUUCUUCCUUGCGAGGGAGGGGGUGGGUCCUGAGCGGGGAAGGGCGAGAGCCCACCCCCCCUCUAAAGUGGAAUGACAGCGGUCCGCCUGCCCGUGAAAGACGUAGUAAGAUCCCAUCAGAAUCGUCCGCGAACGGUGGAGGUAGAGGCCAGCCUCGAACGCCAGAAUCUGAAGGUUUGACCUCAGAUCAGACAAGGAUACCCGCUGAACUUAA
rnacentral:misc_RNA from 1 species